rnacentral:rRNA from 1 species
UAAGACGAACCACACAAACGUUAUUCGGAAUCACUGGGCUUAAAGGGUGCGUAGGCGGCGCGGAAAGUUGGGUGUGAAAUCCCUCAGCUUAACUGAGGAAUGGCGCCCAAAACUACCGUGCUCGAGGAAGACAGAGGUGAGCGGAACUCAGGGUGGAGCGGUGAAAUGCGUUGAUAUCCUGAGGAACACCGGUGGCGAAAGCGGCUCACUGGGUCUUAUCUGACGCUGAUGCACGAAAGCUAGGGGAGCGAACGGGAUUAGAUACCCCGGUAGUCCUAGCUGUAAACGAUGAGCACUUGGUUGAAGGGCCCUCCAUAGCCCUUCAGCCGAAGCGAAAGUGUUAAGUGCUCCGCCUGGGGAGUAUGGUCGCAAGGCUG